AACGAACGCUAAAGACAAAGUUUGGAAGAAGGACUAGGAUUGGACGCAGACAGUACUUCCUGGUGUAAAGUGCCGGAAGUGGGCUUGUCCCCGAGGGAGCCAGGGCUUGUGACAGUGGUAUGGUUCGUGAUAUUGAGGACGUCCUCUUUUUGAGGGCCUAGUGACCUCUUGCGAUUCCCUAGAGGCGCCCUUGCCCUCUGUCCGUACCCCGGGCUUCGGGGCCUUGAUGCGGUAGGUGCCAGAUGUCAAUUUGGCAGUGCCUGGGGCCGCGGCUCCUCCUGGGGACUGGGAAGACCCGCGACGCCCUCUGGUGGUGAUGGUCUGACUAGGCCGGGAGCUGUCCAUUGCCAGUCACGGUCUGGCGGCGAAGCUUGGCGGCUUAGGAGUGGCCCCUGUGCGAACUAAGUCCGCUUUCUACUUUUGUCAUUGUUUCCCAAAUCAGGCAAUCGGGAGCCAUUGGAAGUUUCUAGAGAAAUGACCAGAUUGAUCAGAGGGACUUUGAGGCCUAAGCAGGAAGAUGGCAGUUGAAAUAGAAAGAAGGGGACAACUGACCUUGUGCAGUCUAGUUGUGGAAGACGUCGCUUCACUGGCCCAUGUUGG